AUCUCACCAAAAUUGACGAGAAAGGCUCUCUUUCUUUUCUUCUCGCCAUCGAGAGAGGGUGAACUGUGUGUAAUAAAAGUCAAAUCCCUCUCUCAUACAGCUGCAGUACGUGCUUGCGAAGUUAACCAAUGGAUUCUUUGGCACCAAACCCUCCUCUUCCCUCCUCAACCUCGCCUUAUGAAUCUCCACAACCUCUCUACUCACAAACCCUAGCUCCCUCUCCUCCUCCUCUUCCACUCGAUCAAUCACCGCCGUCCGAUCCAACCCCUCCUCAACCUCCACCUGAAACCAUAUAUCCACCAAAUCACACCCCUCCCCAAUCCCAAACCCUAGAAGCCUCACCCAAUCUCUCAAAUUCUAAUUUAAACGGGGACGACUCGACAGGCCGGAGGCGGCGGCGGAGCCGCUGGGACCCUCCGUCCGACAGCGGCGGCGAGAAAAAGAGGAAGUCGAGGUGGGCGGAAGACGAGCAGAAGCCGGCGGUGGCGUUCCAGUUGCCGGAUUUCAUGAAGGAUUUCGCCGGAGGUAUGGAUAUGGACCCUGAAAUUCAACCCCUUAAUGCUAGGUUACAAGAAAUUAGUCGAAUUUUGCAGUCUGGUGUCCAACUAGAUGACCGGCCAGAAGGCGGUAGGUCGCCUUCUCCCGAACCUAUUUACGAUAAUUUCGGGAUUCGGAUAAACACUAGAGAGUUUCGUGCCCGCGAAAGGCUUAACAGGGAGAGACAAGAGAUAAUUUCACAGAUUAUAAAACGAAACCCUACUUUCAAGCCUCCUGCGGAUUAUAGGCCACCCAAGCUGAAUAAGAAGCUUUAUAUACCCAUGAAAGAGUACCCAGGGUAUAAUUUUAUUGGACUUAUAAUUGGGCCGAGAGGGAAUACGCAGAAGAGGAUGGAGAAGGAGACUGGAGCGAAAAUCGUGAUUCGGGGUAAAGGGUCGAUCAAGGAAGGUAGGAUUGGGCAAAAGCGGGACUUGAAGUUUGAUCCGGCGGAGAAUGAGGACUUGCAUGUUUUGGUUGAGGCUGACACGCAGGAGGCGCUUGAUGCUGCGGCGGGUAUGGUAGAGAAGCUUCUGCACCCAGUGGACGAAGGGUUGAACGAGCAUAAGAGGCAGCAGCUUAGGGAACUUGCUGCUUUGAAUGGGACAAUAAGAGAUGACGAGUUUUGUAGGUUAUGCGGUGAGGCUGGUCAUCGGCAGUUUGCCUGCCCCUCCCGUAUGUCUACUUUUAAGAGUGACGUUUUGUGCAAGAUUUGCGGUGAUGGUGGUCAUCCAACUAUUGAUUGUCCUAUGAAGGGUGGAACUGUGGGGAAGAAAAUGGACGAUGAGUACCAGAGCUUCUUGGCAGAAUUAGGUGGGACAGGCCCGGAAGCUCUUACCAAGCAAAACCCAACAUUGUCUAUUAUGGGUUCCAAUGGAUCAGUAACCAAUCCCCCUUGGGCAAGCACCAUUGGUGGAGGCACUGGGAAUACAUCACGUCCGGGAUUGGGUUGCAUUGUAAAUACAACAGAUAAAGAAAUUGAUGAUGCAAAUUUGUACAUUGGAUACUUGCCAUCUACGCUUGAUGAUGAUGCUCUCAUUAGAUUGUUUUCGCCUUUCGGGGACAUAGUAAUGGCCAAGGUUAUUAAGGAUCGGAAUACUGGUUUGAGUAAAGGUUAUGGAUUUGUGAAGUAUUCAGAUGUUGCUCAAGCCAAUCAAGCCAUUACUAGCAUGAAUGGUUAUCGUCUAGAGGGAAGAGUAAUAGCAGUUAGGGUUGCUGGUAAGCCACCCCAACCUGUUGUGCCCCCUGGGCCUCCUGCUCCACCAAUGUCCUCUUACCCCCCUCCCAAUCAGUCCGUUGGUGGAUACCCCUCCCAGCAGAAUACAUCAGGUGGGCCCCUUGCGGGUAUGCCAUCAGGAGGCUACGUAGGUGCCCCUGUUCCUUGGGGACCACAUGCUCCCCCUCCUUGUGCUCCUUAUACCCAUCCCUUUGGUGGGCAGAACAAUUACGCACCUGUUCAAGGUCCACCUAUGCCUCCUUAUGGGGUGCCGUAUCCCCCACCGCCUCAACCUGCAGUUUCUGGUGCUCCAUCUCAAAGUAUGCUUUCAAGCGAACCCACAAGCUACCCCCCUGGGGUGCAAUCACAGAAUAAUGGGUCAGCAGAUUCUGCAAAAUCUGGACCUAAUAAUGUUUAUGGAAAUGCAAUGACUGGGAUGCUACCAAACUAUCAAGCUUGGUAUCAUCCAUUUUCCUUGGGUUAUCCUUCUUACUAUGCUGCAGCUCCUCCUCCUCCACCUGCGUCUCAUUCAACAGCAGAACAACAGAACUUUGCAAGUGGGCCAUGGGCUUCUAACCCACCUGCUCCACCAUCAGUUUCACCUGCAGAGAAAAAUCAGCCAGCAAGUCAUGGUGCGGAUCCUGAGUAUGAGAAGUUCAUUGCUGAGAUGAAAUAACACAGUUCCAGGGGCAAUAAUGUUUUUUUUUCCCUAAAAGGUAAGUUCUCAACAUUCUUUGUUCUUUGCUUGUGUCAAAAUUUAUUUAAUUUCCAGUUGUUCUUUCAAUCUGGCAAGGAUCAAUUUUUUGUAAUGGAAAUCAUUAACUGCUCCCAAUCAAUUCUAAUUUCUAGUUGUUCUUCCAAUCUGGCAAGGAUCAAUUUUUCGUAAUUCAAAUCAUUAACUGCUCCCAGUCGAUGCCUUUUUCCAUUCUAUCUAAGGACAUUUAUGAAACUAUGUACGGUAUAUUUAGUUUAUUUGGUCAUCCAAGCAUUUUACGCAGACUUCCAGUGUCCGCUAAAGUUUAGAGUUGGGACAGAUUAACCUGCACUAAAUGUAUUAUGUUGAUCAAGUGUAUUAAUUUAAGGUUCUGUUGCUGUAUUUGUAGUUCAUUGGCCCCAAACUAUGGGUUCACUCCUUUUUAACUGUGGACAUUCUUUUUUAGACUGCAGUUGACAUUGGCGACCUUCAUUGAAAUCUUACUCUUUAGGUCUUCCUAUUUUUACUGUUAUUUUCCAAUUUUUCCGUAACUUCUGCAGAAGGGGUGCCCCUGCUCCCUGCUUCCCUUUUCCUGCUAAGAUUGGAAAUCGGUGAAAGGAAAUGGAAAAUUAAUUUUCUUCCUUGUACGGCUAGAGAAAAAAGGAUUCUUAGUUCAAGCUUUGCAACACUAACUGGUAUAUCUACCUCAGGUUGGGCAGAAAGGGUCAGAGAAGGGCAAUCCAUCAGUUCCAGUAUUGUCUCACUAUUGUUCCCCCACCCCACUCCCAUGCUUUUUGGGGGCAGAAAGUUUUCUUGGAGCUCUUCUCAGCCUGUUUUCUUUGUUGUUGCUAUGACUUCAACUGUUGGAAGUUUGGGACUCACAUCUUUUAUCUUGCUGUGCUGUUGUCAUAGUUGCAGAGACUAGCAAAUUCAGAUUGUCACCUAUUACUGCAGUGAAGAAGCUAUGCGAGGACACUCUAAAAUUUAAACGAUGCUACUCCUUUCUGCAGGGCAUACAAACUUCAUCACUUGUCCAACAUGGAUGCUAAUAAUUUACAUACACUCGUUUUGUUUGAGCUUUCAUGACUAGACGGUUGCUGUCGGUUUUGUGUUGUAAUUGUUCAUUGGACAGUAUUUUUAUGUCCUCAUCUUCUUUGACUUUACUUAAAUUUCUUCUCUCAAUAAUUGCCUUUUUGCUUCA